CCGCUUCAAGCUGUUUGCAAAGCAUUACGAUUUGUAUAGUUUUCGUUUUAUGUGUUCAAACGAAAACUAAAAUGUGCCAUCAUUGCCCACCAUUUAUCUAUUUGUUGCAGAGGCUCUCGUUUAAUACGAAAAACGAGUGACCCAAAAGGCAGGGCUUACAAAACAACUGAAAGCGAUGUUUUACAACGAAGCUGUAUAUGGUUAGCCGAUUUGUCUGUGUGCUGGAAACUCCUCCAGCGCAACCCCAUGCGCAAGAACAAGAGGGAAAGAGAGCCGCGUGAUUGGCUGCACCAGCAGUGACGUCAUUGCUCUCAGUCGCAGCCGAGCAUGCGGAUCAGUUUCUCUCCGGCUCCGAAAUGGGUAGGACACACGUCAUACAUACUCCCGAGGAGCACAGCUCUUGAUGAGCAACGCUGCGAGCAGAACCAGGAAUGAACUGGUCUAUGCUGUGCUGAUGCUGUAGCCCAGGCACAAGAACAGGCUCAUGCAACCGAGUGCAAUUAGCAGCUGCGUACCGAGGAUCCGGCAGCCUACCAAGCCGUCGUUUAAUGAACCAUCAGGAUUCACACCGGGGCCGCACGUUUCAGCUUCGCUGGUUAACCAUCUGUACGGAGUGCUUGGGCAGCGAUUUCUUUUUUCAAAUGUUCUCUGAAAAAUCUUCUAGCAUUAAAAUACGAACAUAAUAACUGGUCACUACUGAUUAAUAAAAAAAGAAAAAUACUGGCAGCUUCUUCAGGAGGUUGCUAACAACAUUCAGCUUGUUUCAUUCGCACAGAAGGCAUCGUUUCCUUUUUGAAACUUGCUUUGUGUUAGGUGAGACAGUUGAUACAUCAGAUCAUGGCAACCAGCAGAUCCAGCAAAAAUAUUUGAAGUGCUACAGGUGACAUGGGGGCUAAGAUUGCUAGCACCUCGAAAUGGUCUGAACACAAGCAUGACACUGCUGCCAACUUUCAUGAAAAUGUCAUUUUAUUUCAAAUGUCAUAAAAAACACACAAAAAAACUGGACAUUUGUGUUUCCACCAGCCCACAUGGUGCAUGCAGCAGCAGCGAGCAGCAAAACACUGGUCUGCAACCCGUAUGCAAUAAAGUACAAA
rnacentral:lncRNA from 1 species